rnacentral:rRNA from 1 species
UACAGAGGGGGCAAGCGUUGUUCGGAAUUACUGGGCGUAAAGGGCGCGUAGGCGGCCUGUUAAGUCGAACGUGAAAUCCCCGGGCUCAACCCGGGAAAUGCGUCCGAAACCACCUUGCUCGAGUAUGGGAGAGGGAAGCGGAAUUCCUAGUGUAGAGGUGAAAUUCGUAGAUAUUAGGAAGAACACCGGUGGCGAAGGCGGCCCACUGGAUCGGUACUGACGCUGAGGUGCGAAAGCGUGGGGAGCAAACAGG